rnacentral:rRNA from 1 species
GACGAACGCUGGCGGCGUGCUUAACACAUGCCAGUCGAACGGAAAGGCCCUGCUGUUGUGGGUUGCUCGAGUGGCGAACGGGUGAGUAACACGGGAGUAACCUGCCCUUGACUUUGGGAUAACUUCAGGAAACUGGGGCUAAUACCGGAUAGGAGCUCCUGCUGCAUGGUGGGGGUUGGAAAGUUUCGGCGGUUGGGGAUGGACUCGCGGCUUAUCAGCUUGUUGGUGGGGUAGUGGCUUACCAAGGCUUUGACGGGUAGCCGGCCUGAGAGGGUGACCGGCCACAUUGGGACUGAGAUACGGCCCAGACUCCUACGGGAGGCAGCAGUGGGGAAUAUUGCAGAAUGGGCGGAAGCCUGAUGCAGCAACGCCGCGUGCGGGAUGACGGCCUUCGGGUUGUAAACCGCUUUCGCCUGUGACGAAGCGUGAGUGACGGUAAUGGGUAAAGAAGCACCGGCUAACUACGUG